AACUGCACCAAAAUCCCUAUUUUUCCUUAGCUAAAAUGCUUUAACUUGAGCUCUUGAGCCAAAAACCCAGCUGUAUAAACAAGUGCUCAGAGCCCUCUCGUUUAUCAGUUUGUGAUGGCAAGGAUGGCCUUGACUCUACCAGUAGAACAGGGAAGACACGUCUGUGCCUUAUCUUAUAUCCUGACCAUAAAGGUGCACAGACCUAGUCUGGGAACAGCGCCAGAGGGUGUUCUUGGAGAUGGUGACCUCUUGCUCCAAGAUAAGAGUAGGAACAGGAAGAUCCUUUUAUGGUCAGAAGUACAGGAAGGAAUACCCUUUUAUGGUUAAGAGUGUCGGAGCAGGAACAUCUGUGAUGUCAACCUGCAUGUACAAGCUGAUGUGGCUGGAUUCCUGGGGAAGGGGGAGAGGGUGUCUGGAGGAUAUAUAUACUGCAUGAAAUUUCUCAUUUCUUUGGACUUGCUGUGGACUGACCACGCAAUUGCCUUUCUGCUGUUCCGGAGAGCAGAAAUAAAGAACUCUUUCUCUGAACCAACCCUCGGUGUCAUUUGACUUCCUUCCUCCUGUCCGGGAGCAACGCAGACCCAAUCGGUGAACUCCAAUAAGGCUACAGAAUGACAAAAAAAGAACCCCAGACGGGAAUUAUUGUGUUUAUGCUGAGGCAUCAGCUCAUUAGCAUUUGGAAAGAGAGUACAUAAGAGAAUUCUGGGUGUCAGCCUGGGCUAAUGGCAGAUUGGUUGUGGCGCAGUUUAAAAUGCCCUGUGAACGGAAAACGACAGUGUUUAAGAUCUAGGACACAUAAAGGACUGACCCACCUGUUAAAUUAAAGGAUGGAUUAAUCUAUAGACCUAGGGGGAGAAUGACUCCUAACAUGGAAUGAGGAGAGUCAGUUAAAGCAUGGAUUUUCUACGAAUUUAUAAAGCUAGGUACCUUACCUGAGCUGUCAAGUCAAAAGGAUACAUUCAGGCCUAAUAUUUGUAACAUUGCAACAACUAUAAAGAUGUGCCUCCCCC